rnacentral:rRNA from 1 species
CGAACGGAUGAGUAACACGUGGGCAACCUGCCCAAAAGAGGGGGAUAACACUUGGAAACAGGUGCUAAUACCGCAUAACCAUAGUUACCGCAUGGCAACUAUGUAAAAGGUGGCUAUGCUACCGCUUUUGGAUGGGCCCGCGACGCAUUAGCUAGUUGGUGGGGUAAAGGCUUACCAAGGCAAUGAUGCGUAGCCGAACUGAGAGGUUGAUCGGCCACAUUGGGACUGAGACACGGCCCAAACUCCUACGGAAGGCAGCAG